rnacentral:rRNA from 1 species
UACGAAGGGGGCUAGCGUUGCUCGGAAUCACUGGGCGUAAAGGGCGCGUAGGCGGACUCUUAAGUCGGGGGUGAAAGCCCAGGGCUCAACCCUGGAAUUGCCUUCGAUACUGAGAGUCUUGAGUUCGGAAGAGGUUGGUGGAACUGCGAGUGUAGAGGUGAAAUUCGUAGAUAUUCGCAAGAACACCGGUGGCGAAGGCGGCUACCUGGACCGGUUCUGACGCUGAUGCGCGAAAGCGUGGGUAGCAAACAGG